AGUGAGUGGCGAACGGGUGAGUAACACGUGAGUAACCUGCCCUCUUCUUUGGGAGUAACGCCCCGGAAACCGGGUGCUAAUACUGGAUAUUCACUGAUCUUCGCAUGGGGGUUGGUGGAAAGGUUUUUUCUGGUGGGGGAUGGGCUCGCGGCCUAUCAGCUUGUUGGUGGGGUGAUGGCCUACCAAGGCUUUGACGGGUAGCCGGCCUGAGAGGGUGACCGGUCACAUUGGGACUGAGAUACGGCCCAG
rnacentral:rRNA from 1 species